rnacentral:rRNA from 1 species
UACAGAGGGGGCAAGCGUUGUUCGGAAUUACUGGGCGUAAAGGGCGCGUAGGCGGCCUUCUAAGUCGAACGUGAAAUCCCCGGGCUCAACCCGGGAACUGCGUCCGAGACUGAAAGGCUUGAAUCCGGGAGAGGGAUGUGGAAUUCCAGGUGUAGCGGUGAAAUGCGUAGAUAUCUGGAGGAACAUCGGUGGCGAAGGCGGCAACCUGGACCGGUAUUGACGCUGAGGCGCGAAAGCCAGGGGAGCAAACGGG